AUGAGCAGCAGCUUAGGGAGGAUGGGGAGCACGACAGCGGUGGCGGAGGGGAGCAGCAGCAGCAGGCCUCGCCGGGGCGCCCCUCGCCUCCUCACCGCCCGCCGGGGGCGCGUGGUUCAGGGCCACCCUUGCCUGCUGCGGCUACGUCCUGCUGGCGCUGCUCGCCCUCGCGCUCCUCCUCCUUCUCCCCGUUGGGUACCUCGGCCAGAAAAGGAGGGCACCAUUCACCAUGGAGGACUGUCGUGUCCAGUCUCCCUCACUUCCUCCCUCCUGCCUCAAUACCAUAGCACCCAUGACCAUGGCGACUCCACUGGAGGUGCAGCAAGCAGGUGCUGUUGUGUGAAGGACAGGAGAAGAGGGUAG
rnacentral:rRNA from 1 species